UGCGCAGGCGGUUCAGCAAGCUUGGUGUUAAAUAUCCCGGCCCAACCGGGGGGCUGCGCUGAGAACUGCUGGGCUUGAGCUCAGGGAGGGGAAGCUGGAAUUCCUGGUGUAGGGGUGAAAUCUGUAGAGAUCAGGAAGAACACCGGUGGCGAAGGCGAGCUUCUGGCCAUGGACUGACGCUGAGGCACGAAAGCGUGGGGAGCGAACA
rnacentral:rRNA from 1 species